GCAUGGUGGCUCAUGUGAGUAAUCCCAGCACCUUGGAAGGCUGAGACAGGUGGAUCACUUGAGUCCAGGAGUUCUAGACCAGCCUGGGCAACAUGGUGAAACCCCAUCUCUACAAAAAAUGCAAACAUUAGCUGGGUAUAGUGGCACACAACUGUGGUCCCAGCUACUCGGGAAGCUGAGGUGGGAGAAUUACCUGAGCCCAGGAGGUCAAGGCUGCAGUGGGCUGAGAUCUCGCCACUGCACUCCAGCCUGGGUAACAAAGACCCUGGAUUAAAAAAAGAAGAAAAAAAAAUAUGAAGUACUAUAAAAUAUGAAAAUAGGGAAAGGUUAGAGAAUGAGCUGCCUGGUUGUAUUAGGUGUUUGCUUUUCUUUAAGACUUGCUCUAAGUUGAUAUCAUAUCUCAGAGUCAGAGUCUCAGUUUAACAGAUAUGUGUGUACCUGGAGCCCAGCACGCUGUUUUACAUGCAAUGGAAGCCGUUCACGUUUGAUGCAAUUCAAGGCUUGCCACACUCUGAGGAAGCCUGACUCUCACUAUGGACUGGUGGCAGCUUCCCCAAAGUCUGGGUUCAGUUCCCAGGAGGAAGUGGCUUCUGAAGAGCACAUUUGGAUGCGGGAGAGUGACAGCGGGAGGGGCACCCCACAGGAAGGAAGCCCCUUGACAGAGGGCUGGCAGAUUAACGCAGCACACAGGUAAGCAUGGGACCCAGGAAAGGCUCAAGUUUGGGCACAUUUUCUACCAAGUGGAACUAACUGGUUUUUCUUGACUGAGGAGAGGGAAGAGGAGAGAAGUUGAGGCUGGACUGCAGGGACUGGCACCUCUUGAUUUGCCCGAGGUUCUCUGGCACCUGAAGCACAGCCUGCCCCUCAACAGUCACCAAGGCACUGUGUCUUAUCGGGGAGGAUAACGCUUCCUGUGGGGUUCAUCCUGCACAGCGUACAAAAUCUUCCGCUUCACUAUCACGCCAUCAUGAGAUCUGG
rnacentral:lncRNA from 1 species